GUAGUCGAUGGGAAACAGGUUAAUAUUCCUGUACUUGGUGUUACUGCGAAGGGGGGACGGAGAAGGCUAUGUUGGCCGGGCGACGGUUGUCCCGGUUUAAGCGUGUAGGCUGGUUUUCCAGGCAAAUCCGGAAAAUCAAGGCUGAGGCGUGAUGACGAGGCACUACGGUGCUGAAGCGACAAAUGCCCUGCUUCCAGGAAAAGCCUCUAAGCAUCAGGUAACAUCAAAUCGUACCCCAAACCGACACAGGUGGUCAGGUAGAGAAUACCAAGGCGCUUGAGAGAACUCGGGUGAAGGAACUAGGCAAAAUGGUGCCGUAACUUCGGGAGAAGGCACGCUGAUAUGUAGGUGAAGCGACUUGCUCGUGGAGCUGAAAUCAGUCGAAGAUACCAGCUGGCUGCAACUGUUUAUUAAAAACACAGCACUGUGCAAACACGAAAGUGGACGUAUACGGUGUGACGCCUGCCCGGUGCCGGAAGGUUAAUUGAUGGGGUUAGCGGUAACGCGAAGCUCUUGAUCGAAGCCCCGGUAAACGGCGGCCGUAACUAUAACGGUCCUAAGGUAGCGAAAUUCCUUGUCGGGUAAGUUCCGACCUGCACGAAUGGCGUAAUGAUGGCCAGGCUGUCUCCACCCGAGACUCAGUGAAAUUGAACUCGCUGUGAAGAUGCAGUGUACCCGCGGCAAGACGGAAAGACCCCGUGAACCUUUACUAUAGCUUGACACUGAACAUUGAGCCUUGAUGUGUAGGAUAGGUGGGAGGCUUUGAAGUGUGGACGCCAGUCUGCAUGGAGCCGACCUUGAAAUACCACCCUUUAAUGUUUGAUGUUCUAACGUGGGCCCCUUACCGGGGUUGCGGACAGUGUCUGGUGGGUAGUUUGACUGGGGCGGUCUCCUCCUAAAGAGUAACGGAGGAGCACGAAGGUUGGCUAAUCCUGGUCGGACAUCAGGAGGUUAGUGCAAUGGCAUAAGCCAGCUUGACUGCGAGCGUGACGGCGCGAGCAGGUGCGAAAGCAGGUCAUAGUGAUCCGGUGGUUCUGAAUGGAAGGGCCAUCGCUCAACGGAUAAAAGGUACUCCGGGGAUAACAGGCUGAUACCGCCCAAGAGUUCAUAUCGACGGCGGUGUUUGGCACCUCGAUGUCGGCUCAUCACAUCCUGGGGCUGAAGUAGGUCCCAAGGGUAUGGCUGUUCGCCAUUUAAAGUGGUACGCGAGCUGGGUUUAGAACGUCGUGAGACAGUUCGGUCCCUAUCUGCCGUGGGCGCUGGAGAACUGAGGGGGGCUGCUCCUAGUACGAGAGGACCGGAGUGGACGCAUCACUGGUGUUCGGGUUGUCAUGCCAAUGGCACUGCCCGGUAGCUAAAUGCGGAAGAGAUAAGUGCUGAAAGCAUCUAAGCACGAAACUUGCCCCGAGAUGAGUUCUCCCUGACUCCUUGAGAGUCCUGAAGGAACGUUGAAGACGACGACGUUGAUAGGCCGGGUGUGUAAGCGCAGCGAUGCGUUGAGCUAACCGGUACUAAUGAACCGUGAGGCUUAACCUUACAACGCCGAAG
rnacentral:rRNA from 1 species